rnacentral:rRNA from 1 species
GCUCACUGACUAGAAAAGUUAAAGAGCCGCGGUAUAUUGACCGUGCAAAGGUAGCAUAGUCAUUAGUUUUUUAAUUGAGAACUUGUAUGAAUGGUUCGACAAAGGAAAGGCUGUCUUUAUGUUAAAUAUUGAAUUUAACUUUUAAGUGAAAAGGCUUAAAUAGUUCGGGGGGACGAUAAGACCCUAUAAAGCUUUAUAUAGUGUUUGUAUUAAAUUGAAUUAAAGAAUCAAAAAUUAGUUCCAAAUACUUUAUUUUGUUGGGGCGACAAAGGUAAAAAUUUGAGUAACUGUUAUUUAAUUUAAACAAUAAUGCUUGAAAUAUAAAUUAAAGGAUCCUUAUUAAAGAUUUAAAAACCAAGUUACUUUAGGGAUAACAGCGUAAUUUCUUUUGAGAGUUCAUAUCGAAAAAGAAGAUUGCGACCUCGAUGUUGAAUUAAGAUGUCUUUAUUGUGCAGCCGCAAUAUAAAGAAGGUCUGUUCGACCUUUAAAAUCUUACAUGAUUUGAGUUCAGACCGGCGUGAGCCAGGUUG